rnacentral:lncRNA from 1 species
UGUUUUACAAUCAUUUGGUAACUGGAGGGCAAGAGUGACAUUUAUCUUCAAACCAAGAUUUGGGUCAUCAUGGUCUUUAAUAAGGAUACAUAAACAUCUCUUACUAUUAUUAAUAACAUCUUUGACGCCAGUGCAACAAUCUAUAUUUGGUGAUUUUGCUUGACCAGUUACAAAAGGUAGACAAUUAGCCAAAAUAAGGAGUUUGUCGGUGCAUUCAGCUUUGUCUUGGUUCACAUCUGAGUAUGCAAGACCAAACAUAAGGACCAGGAAAAUCAAGGUAGAAAAGAAGAGUGAUGGAUUUGUUGUUACACUUUUGGAACCCAUGAUGAUGAAAGAGUUUCUAAAAAAAGUGAGAGAAAUUAAAGAGAUAGGUGUGAGUGUGAUGGAAUAUGGUAACACCAACACCGCUCGUUUUUAGUUCUCUUUAUUGAUUAUGAGACGUGACUUUAUUAAAUUGAAUGUUACUAUUUAAUUCAUUUAUUUAUUUUCCCGGUAUGGUUAAGGGAUGGAACUGAAUAAAAGUUGUCCGGAUAAGUUCUUAUUUUUCUCUCUUUUUUUUCAAUAUAUUUUUCUAACUUAUGUAAAUCUUUUACCCAUUAAAUGAACAUUAAUUGUUCUUUUUUUAAAUUACUAACUUUUUUAGUUAGUAGAAAGAGAGAAAUUGCAUAAAAAUAGAUGAAAGUGGAUACAUAAAAUAAGUAGUGGUCUAUGUGUGGUAUUUUCAUAAAUUUAUAGUGGCAUAAGGAUCUUUUAUGAGAUGAAUUAUAGUCAAAUUUACUUAACUUUCAAUUGAACUUUAGAUUAUUAGGAUCUCAUUUUCAUUGAAACAAAAAGUUAAAAGAAUUUUUUUUAAGUAUGCAACAUCGAUUAUAGAGUUAGGGAUGAUGAUUGUUAAUAGAGGUGAGAAUAAACCAAAUCGACUAACAAAGGUCUACAAUCUAACCUACGUUAGGUCUAGGCCAAAUCAGAAAUUUUGUUUAUUUUUAAAACUUCUAAAAAAGUCGGUUUAGUUAAAAAAAUAGACUACAAAUUACAUAAAAGCCUUUGGGUCUACCACACAGACCUAUUUAAAUAAAUAUAAAUAAUAUUUUUUAUUACUACUAUAAUUAAUAUAGUAAAUUUUGAUAUAUGUAUUAGAUAUUGAACUUUUAGUAAUUUAAGUAUAUUAACGUUCUUUAGUUUUUGACACAUUUAAAUGUAUUAUUAUAAAACAAAAUUGAAGUAUGAUAUGAUAUAAAGUCAGAUUCUUUAAAAUGUCAUGUGAAAUAUCAAAAUAGAACUUAAUUUCAUUGAUAUAUUAAUUUUUUGUCUAUUUAAAAAUAUAUUUGAUUAGUUAUUCAAAAAUAUUAAAAUGAAAUAGGUUUUGAAGUAGUCUAACAGACUAUACCUUAUUUCCAUCAAGGUCAUACUCAAUCUUAAAAAUAUUUAAGCCUACGACAUGGCACAUGCCACAUGACAGACUUAGGCUUUGAAUAUUUUUGACAACCAAACUUAAACUUUGUAAAGUCUAAUUCGGGAUAACCUAACACAUUUCUACCUUUAAUUGUUGAUAAUUGUUGAAAAACAUAUCUUUUAGUCAAUUAACAUAAAUAUAACUAUUUCUGGUAUAUAUAGUAUAUUCUUAACUAAAUCACUAGAAUAAAAAAAAUAGAUAAUCACAUUAUAUUUGUAAGGUUUAAAUAUGUUUUUCAUCUUUAUAAAUAUGUUUCAUUUUGAUUUUAGUCUCUAUAUAUUUUUUUUUUGAGUUAUACCCUUUCAAAUUCUAAGUUUUAAAAAAAUCAUUUAUAAAUCUUUUUUAGUAAAAAAAUGAUGACAUGGCUAAUUUUUAAUAAAGUGGCACAUGGUGACUGUUUAAUUAUUGUUGAGUGGACAAUAUUUAAUAUUUAAAAUUCAUUUUAUUAACUCAUUUAAUUAUUUAAUUAAAAAUUUAGAACAAAUUAAUUAAUUAAUAAACCAAUUAAAUAAUAAAAACUCAAUAAUCUUCAUCUUCAAUCCUAUGUUUUUUUAAUAAAAACUCAACAACUUUCAUCUUCAACCCUAAUUUCUUCAUCUUCAAAUCACAAAUUCUCUUUUUCGGAUCCAAAUCAUAAAAAUUCUAAGAUCGCAUUGAAAUGGAUAAGAUUUACUCAAGAGACAACUUUCCUCUCUCUAAUUCAUCAAGAGUGAAAAAUUUGUUCAUAGACACUUCUAAGUGCUUGCAACCAUUUAUUCAUGUCACGUUAUUAUCAUAACCUCAUCUAGAGUCCAUCAACCAGCCGAACAUAACUAAACUACCAACAACAAAUUUUUGAUACUAUUAACUACGAUAACAUAGUUAAUGGUAACAUUGAUCAAUUAAGCAUCUGCAGUUUCAUCAGAAUCAGCAGCAGCUAGGACAAGCUCAGGGUGGAUGUUUGUUGCAUAAUCCACAGCAUUAGGAAGUCCUAGUGAUUUCAAGGCCAGAUGGGCUGCUUUCUGCCCUGAUAUCAUCAUUGCUCCAAAUGUUGGACCCUGACCAGAACAUCAAAAUAAAUAUUAUUACUUUGCCAUAUAUAAAAUAAAAAUGUAGAAGACAAAAAGGUAGUAAAAAUGUACCAUUCUUGGAGCACCAUCAAUCUCAGCAACCUCCAUACCAGUAACAAUCAUUCCAGGGACAACCUCCCUAGUAAGCCUAACAAUAGCAUCCUCAGCGGUGUUCAUGUCGAGAGCCUUCAUUCCAGGGACGGUAUCGAUCAAGCCGAUACUCUUGAGCCUCUUAACUCCGGUGGCUCCAAAAGGACCAUCAUGGCCACAAGAACUAACAACAACUUUAGCCUCCAUAACAUUUGGGUCCAUGCAAGAUUGAGUGUCAUGGUUCAUAGAAACCAAAGCCCAAUUAGUGACAACACCACCAACUCUUCCAUUCUUCACAAUCAAAUCUUCAGCAGCAACAGCAUUGAAAAGCUUCACAUUUGGCCUUGCUAGAAGCUUGCUCAUGAUGGUGGAAGUGAAGAGAGCUGCAUGCUUGAUCACAACAUAGUUGUCCUUUUCAUCAUAAUCAAUUCCAAGUUCGUUCAAGAAUAGAUGUGCUGGCUUCCGCACAACCUGCAUCACACACAUUCAUUCAUUCACAAAUCAUUAUUGCUUUAUUUCUACAUCCUAGUACUAAUUGCUGUGGAUUCACAAGUUUAGUGCGUCCAUUUUUACGUAUUAAAAUAAUUUUAUUUUGAUACUCAAUAAUCUAUAGAUUAUUUUUUAGAAAUUCGAAAAAAAAACGAGAAUGUGUUUUGAGAAGCUACUAAAUACAAUUUUUUAUUUAAUUAAUUUGUAGAUUUUUUGUCUUCAGAUUUUUCACUUUUAAAAAAAAUUGUAACAGUCGUACUAAAACUUUCAAAAGUAGUUAUUUUGUUUAAAAUAAAUGAAUUCUUCAAAAAAAGAAAAAAAAAACUGUAACAAUGGGUCUUAAUAUCCAUCCAUUUGUUUAAGAUUUUCAAAUAAAAAAUAUUCUAAAUAAAAUAGUCUUAAAAUAAUAUUUUACAUAUUGUAACAUUAAAAGUAGUUAAUUUAUAUUUGUUUUCUUCUUCGUCAAAAAAAAAAAAUUCAACAUUCUUUCUCAUGUACUAUACGAUACUCAUUCUAAUAAAAUGAUUUAUUGUGCCACAUAACUACAAAAAGUUAUUGAGUAAAACAAACUAAAAAUAUUUAUAAUAUAUAUCAAGUUUCCUAUUACUUUUUUGGAAAAAAUCCUAUAAGUUGAAGUCAUUAGUUUUUAAUAAAAUAAUUUUGUAUAAAAUAAUCUGAAUCAUUUCCAAAUCUCCAUUUAAUGAAAAUAAGCAAGGUACAUUGAAAGACAAAUAUUUUACAGAAAAAUAAUGUUCGGUUCAGUGGAUCUAACCAAUUCAACGUUAUACAAGAAUGAUUCAGUUAAGUUUUAUAAAAAGAAUUCAUACAAAUUAAAUUAAUUAAUUAAAAUUAUUAAAUGAGAGUAAAAAAAAGAAGAGAAGUAUAUAUAUACAUAUAUACCAUUGCAGAGAAGAGUUGGCCACCGAGCCAAGCACCACCACCGGGACUAACAGAUUGUUCAAUGAUUGCAAUAUUAACAUUUGGAUUCUUGCUAAGUUCAUAAGCACAUGUAAGACCAGCAGAACCAGCACCUACGAUGACAACAUCGGUGUCAGCGUGUGUCACCAUGUCUGUCAUGUACCUGCGUGUCAUCUCACGUGACACAAUCGACUCCUUAAUUGGAUCGAAUUUGAAAGAAUUAAGGUCAUAGGGUGGUGGUGAAUUAGCUGCUGCUACUGAUGCGGAAACAGAGAAUUUUCUUUGAACACCGAGGUUAAGGGUUGUGUUGAAAGAGAGGGAUUUGGAAGAAGGGGUUGAGGUAUUGGUGUAGAGGAAAGAGGAGGUGAUGGUGGAAACGGAAGCCAUGUUAUGUUGGUUUAUUCUGUGAAGCAACUAACACUGUUCGACUUUUGUAAUUUUGAGAGAUGGGAAUGCGAUAUUUAUUGGGGGAGGAGUAGUUGGUGAGUUCCUAAAAUUAUUUUAAAAUUUAUGUUACUUUUCAUUUUAAUAUAAAACUAAAAUAAGUUUUAGUGUUGUAAGAAGAAAAAGAAAGUUUGUAUUGUAUUAUUAAUAACUGACUUUUUAUUAAUAACUGACUUUUUAUUUUAUUUUUUUACGUCAGCAUUUAUAUAUUAUAUAUUAUAGGUUGAUUAAAUUAAUAAUGUUGAUAUAUUUAUGAUUUUAGUUUUCAACAAUGAUAUACAUUCUUUUCAUAAUUAAAAAUUAUAACAUAUAUAAAGAGAUUUAAAAUACAAAAUUUAAAAGUUUUGGUUGUGUUAAAUAUAUAAUAUAGUCAUACUAAUUCAUUAAAGUUAUGUUAUUUAAUUAUUGGUCAAUUAAUUUAAUAGUAUAAAAAUAUAUUAAUUUACAAAAAUACUGUAGAAGUCUUCUAAAAUUAAUUAUUUUUUUAAUUAUAUCUUCUAAUAAAUAUUAUAUAUGUAGUUUUUAAAAUAUUACAUCUCACUUUACAUUUAUAUUAGUGAGAUAUAUAUAUAUUUACCAUCAACAAGUAUAUUUUUAUAAAAUUAUUAUUAUUAUUUUUUAUUUAUAGAUAUUUUUAAUAUAUAUAAAAUAAAUAAAAAUAAUACUCAUUACGAGAUAAAUGAAAUAUUUGUUUAUUAUUUAAAAUGAUAAUGAAGUUGGUAUUAAAUUAAUCUCAUAAAUAAUAUAAAAAAAUGAAAUUAAAUAGUUAAUAAAUUCUAAUUAAAGUCGAAUUUAUUCAAAUUAUACUUUUUAUUUAUUUAUAUUAUUUUUAAGUUCGUAAAGAAUUAACACAAAAAUGUUAAUCUCAUAAAGAUUUAUUUCUAUUUGAAUAAUGUGUAAAGGUAAUUAUAAUGACAUUUUUAUAUUUGAAAAAUUCAUAUAAUAACAUACGUACGUUGAUAUUUAGAAAGAAAAAAAAAAUACAUUUUGAACAUGUUAAAUUGAUGAGUCACCUGAUAUCUAUCGGUUUUGGUUAAUUUUUAUUUAUUAAUAUUAGAUAUAUUUGGCUCAACGAUAUAGAGUAUAACUAUAGAAUGAUAUAAGUAACAUAGUUUUGUUUUUAAAUAUGUUUAACUGAAAAAUGUAUUAAAUUGAAUGUUUUGUUUUAUAUUAAAAAAAUAAGAAAAAUAUUUUCUCAUGUAUUAUAUGAAAAAUGAAUUGUAUGGUAAUGAAUAUUUUUAUAUUAGUUAUUUAAGUCUUUAUUUAUUUUUUAUCAUAACUACUAACUAUAAGUAGUUGAGAUUGUCUUUAAAAAAAAGUAUUUACUUUAUUAUUAUUAUUAUUACUAUUAUUAUUAAUAAUAUAAUAUAAUUUUAUUUUAGUAUUUAAUUUAUUAAUAAUAUUUUGUUUUUUUAAAAUAUUAUACCUAUUUUUGUUUUAUUAAAUAAAUAAUUUUGUAAUUGUAAAAAUGAGAAGAAGAAAAAAUUGUAAGCUUAUUACAUGGUCGCUGGGAAAAUUUCAAUGAGGAAUGAAAUUUCCAGGGAACAUCUCAGAAAUUUAAAAUUUCUGAUAGUUAUAAGUCAAUACCGAAAAUUUCAUUUUUUUAAAUUUUCGGGAGUACUCCGAAAUUUGAAAUUUCUGGUAUUAAUUUAUAACUACCGGAAAUUUCAUUAAUCUUGAAAUUUCCGAUAUAAAAAAAAUUCAACAACACUCACUUUUCUAGAAAACACAACUUGUGAGAGUGUGAGGAAUUUUUUUGAUUUUUACAAUUUUAUUAAGGGUAUUUCGGAUAUUUCAAACAUAAAAUUUUUAAGUAAGGGUGUAGGAUUAAUUGGAGGGGUACAAUAGACAACUUUUCCUUUUAAAUUAUAAGUGUUUUUGACUCCUCCAACCUGUGGAUCGGGGUCAAUAAUUAUGAAGUUUGUCAAAUUGACGGUUCUAACUGCAGAACGUCGGUCAAAUUAUAUACUCGUAAAUCAAACAAAUUAAAUAAACAAGCAAAUUGCUGAAAUUAUAUACCCAAAGCCCGCAUAUAUCAAGCCCCCUUUGAUCACUAACAUGACAUUCUGCAACCACAAAAAAAACAUAAGCUGAACCCCCACACAAAUAAAUCCUUAAAAUGGCAACUAUCUAGUUAAGUCAAGCACACGCUCAAUUGCAAAUUUACAAGACAAAGUAAUGGAUUUGUACACCAAUCAACAAAGCUGUACAAUGUUUUCCCUGCUAUUAAAAUGAAAGGGCCCCCCCAAUCCUAGCCAAUGACAUAUACCAUUCCAUAUCCUACUUGUAUGAAUUAUCCAUUGUUUUUUUUAUAUUUUUAGUAUUGACCAAAUGAUAUUUAGAGAUAUUUAUAAACAAAAAUUACAAGUAUGAGAUAUAAGUCCAAACGUGAGUAAAAAAUCUAAUUUUAUCAUGUAGAAUGUACAAUUUGAAUAAUCAUUUACAAAUACGGUCAAAUUGUCAUGGGUUACUUGAAUUUGGAUUGGACGUACUCUCGGAUUGAUCCAUAUGCUUUGGAUAGGGUAUUAAAUUUUGUGAAAAAUCGAACCAAAUUAACUUGAUAAUAAAAUAGUUGAGUGGGGUUCAUUAAUCCUAAAAAAAAUAUUAUUUAUUCAUAAAAACUAUAACUAUGAAGAAGAAUAAGAAUAAUAAAAUAGAAUAAAUCUCAAAAAGAAUAAACAUGAAGCACAAAUUACGUACUUAAAUUGAAAAAAAUACACAAACAAUUAAAAAAAAGAAUAAUUUUUUAAAUAAACAUCCUGAAAAAGUUAAAUUUUACUUGUCUAAAUAUUAAAGUUGGAUCCAUGCACACAUCUUAAAAAAUAAGUAUUUGUAUCAAUUUUUAACUUAAAAUAAUAUGGUAUGAAAAUACAAUAUCUUUAUAUAUACUAUCAAUUAUUAUUAGACUUAAUUAUAGUUUUAGUUCCUUAUUUUUACUGAUUCAUGAAAUUGAUUCAUUUAUUUUAAAAGUCGACAAUUUUGAUUAUUUUAUCUGAUUUUUUAACUAAAAAAUGAUGAUGUGACAUACUUUAAAUAACGUUCAUAUGAUACGAUGAUGUAGAAUUAUUAAGAUCCAUAAAAUUGGAAUAAAACAUCAUAAAAACUUAACUUUCAACUUCAAUUUUUUUUCUUUUCAUAUUAGUAAUUUAAUUAAUGACAUGUGAAUAAUUAAUAUAUUUAGAUGUUUCUAAAUCAUGAAAUUGUAUAUUACGUUAUUUAAAAUAUGUCAAAUCGUUAUUUUUUAAUUCAAAAUUAUCAGAGAGGGUAAAAACUAUUAACUUUUAAAAUAAAAAUUUCGUGAAUUGAUAAAAAUAAAAAAAGGAAAACUGCAAUUAAACUUUAUUAUUAAGUACCAUAUGCUUAAGUCUAUUUUAAUACUUCCGCUAUUCCUUUUAAUUGUCGUAUUAAAAAAAAUUGCUCCUACUUAUUUGUCAUUAAUUUGUCAAUAUUAUUUUUGCAAAGAGAGAAAUGAAUGAAUAAGAUAAUAAAUGAUUAAAAAUAUUAUUAAAAAAAUAAAUAAUCAUAUAAAAAACAAUAAAAAAAAAAUUGAUUGUAUUGGUAAAUGUAAAAAACUAUAAAUCGGUAACUAUAAAAGAACAAAGAGAGUAUCUAAGACUUGCAUUCAAAAAAUGUAAUAAAUGCUUUAUUUAUAUUUUGUUGAGACUAAUAAAAAAAAUCAAUUAAAACAUACAAUAAGACUAACAAAAAAAAUUUAAAAGACUAAAAUUUAAAAAAAUAUUUUUAUAGAAAAUAAAAAUCAAAUUUAGUAUUUUAUAAGGAUGAAAGCCUUAUUUAACCUUUUGUUUUACUCAAGUCCAUAUUGCAUGCAUCAGUUUUAAAAAGUAAUAGUAAAACAUAAGUGUUAAUUCCUUAACCGUUAUCAAGUUUUUUGGCAAGAAAACAUUUUCGGGAACAUGGUUUUUGUUUUCUUUCUUUCUUUCUAGGAGUACACUCAUUAUAAAAAACUUGCAUCAAGUUUGCUAUGGCUAAUCAAUAUUCUAAAAAAAAUCAAAGUUUUCUAGAAUUUAAGCAUAGUCUGGAAAACUUGAACCAUCGAAUUUUAUGGAAAAUUUGGACGGAAAUAAAAUAAGUGAAAAAUCGAUUUAGUUAUUUAUAAGAAAUAACAAAAUUGGAACUUUAUAUUAAUUGCAAGGGUAGAGGUAUAAUUGUGAGAGUAGUUUCGACCGUGUUUCAUGGGUCAACUAACUCCACACAUUUGAGGCAGGUUGGAUGAGGUGCAGGGCAACCCUUUGAUCCCACAUCAAUUAAACGUGAAACUGAAUCAAUCAACAAUUUUGUCAAUAUAUAUAUAUAUAUACUAUUAAUAUUACAUGAAACUGAUUCAAUCAACAAUCUUAUGUUGUGUGUUAAUUUGAAACGUAGAGCAUGACAUAGACUUGAUUACAGCCUUGGUUUGACAUGCAUAAUGGAGAAUCUUUUCCAUUAUAUGUGCAAAAAAUUAAUUUUUAGAUUGUUAGCUACCUAUGUUUGUAAAAAGUUAGUUUAUUAGACUGAAUUCGGGACCUCUCCUUUUGAACAUCCUAAAAUAAUACUUUCAAAAGUAGUUAUAUGCAACAAUCAAGAAGAAUUUAGAUAAAUAGUGACAUAUUUAACUUCUUAUCAAAUACAAAACUGAAAUCUUAUCUAUUGAAUCAACCUAUAUUGACUACUUCAUGUGAAAUUUGAAAACUUAUAAUCAUCAUUGUAUACAUUUAGACAUGACAAAUAGGGUAGAGUAAUAGCGGAUUUUGUCUCUUCCACUCCCCUGCAACGGAGUUCGAAUUUCACUAUCCACACGACGCCCAUUCAUAUUUAGAUUAAUAUUACUUGUUGGACGUUCGGGUGCAUGGCAUAUAUCACCACCUCAAACUCGUCUCUGUCUCCGAAUUUUAAUUUCGAAAAAAAUCAGCAUUCGCAAGUUUAGGUAGAUAGCCGCAAAGGCGUGUUAUCUUGUCAUUCCUAUAUACAUUUGCUGACCGACUGAUAAAUUUUUUCCUUUUUUAUUAACUAAAGGUAUUUGCUAUCCAAUAUUGCUAUGAUAAUUUUUAAAAUUCGAAUACAAUUUAGAUUUAAUUACAUUUUUAAUAAUUCUAUUUUUUCUUAUUUAUAAAAUUGAUGUCUAUGUUAUAAUUUAUGAGAGUAUUAAUCAUUUUCUCAAAAUUAGUGAAAAUAUAUAAAUCAAAAUUAUAAUUAAAACUAAAUUUUAAUGUCAAAAUCAAGCAAUAGAUGAGACAGGUAAAAAAAGAUAUAAAUAGAAGGCACUUUACUGUCACAGCUAUGUAAAAAUUAUACGACCUUGACGUGAACUAAUGGGUCCUUGAAUCGGUCAAUUAGUUAGUUGAAAAAUUUAAUAUUACGUACAAGGGAGGGAUGGUCGUAAUAAAGGAAAGAGACAAUGCAUCAUCUUGUAUAAAUUCUAAAUAUUAUACAUUGGUUAGGAAUAAGAAUAUAACAUUCACUAAUAUACAGCAGUGUAUAACAAACUUAAAAAAUAAUUAGACAUAGUCAAAAUAGCAAUAUACUACAUUAAAUCCUCUUAUUAAAUAUUAAAUAUUGGUUUUUUUUUACGAAAAAAUGUUGGCCUUUUAAUCCCAAUUCAAAAUAUUUUUAAAACAAAAAUUAAAAAAGAGAAAUUUUUUAUUAAUGAAAGUUAUAUUAAAAACUAAUUUAUAAGUGUCUCCUCAUAUAUUUUUGAACUCAAUACUUUAAUAUUAUAAAAUUAACUCAUGCCACUAAAUUGAUUACAAUUCAAACAAUGAAGACAGAAGAGACUAAAAGAGAUGCUGAAAUCCAACAGAGCACCUCUGCCAUCAGCCAUUUCUUUCCCCAUCCUCCACCAUUCUCAUGAGUUAUUGUGCUUGUUCCUUUUCCAGUGGAAUUACUAGCUGCAAUGAAUUUUCGAUUUCAUUCAUAGUAUAAAAAAAAAUAAAACUAAACAAAAUUACAAAGACAUAGGAUGAAAUACAAACGACCAUUUGGUCACAGAUAAAAAAAAUACCAAUUUAGUUUUUCAAAAUGUCAACUGUCGGUCGAAAUAAUAAUUUUAAAAUUAAUUUUAUAGUCGGGUCUAUCAUUAUUUUGAACAAUAUUCGAGAUUUUAAAAUACUAAGCGGCACUCUUUAUUUCUUAGAGAUAAAAUAUUUUUGUAUUUUUCUCAAAGACAUGUUUUUUGCGAGUAUUUGUUUCUAAAUUAAUUAAAAAAUAUUACCUGGAGCAACUGUGGUGGAACUGUUUUUUUCCAUGGAUUUUUGGAUGUCCUCAAAUAUCUUAGCUUCAGGAGAUUUAGGUGCCAAAUGCAAAAUAUCUGGAAAUAAAAAAUGAAACUCGACUCUAAACUCAACAACAUAUAAGUAUAAGAGUAAUUAACAAAAGAUGAUAUAUUAAAAAUAUAAGAUAUUAACUUACCAACACAUUUAGUUAUAUUAGUAGGUGUUUUACAAUCAUUUGGUAACUCGAGGGCAAGAGUGACAUUUAUCUUCAAACCAAGAUUUGGGUCAUCACGAUCUUUAAUAAGGAUACAUAAACAUCUCUUACUAUUGUUAAUAACAUCUUUGACGCCAGUGCAACAAUCUAUAUUUGGUGAUUUUGCUUGACCAGUUACAAAAGGUAGACAAUUAGCCAAAGUAAGGAGUUUGUCGGUGCAUUCAGCUUUGUCUUGGUUCACAUCUGAGUUUGCAAGACCAAACAUAAGGACUAGGAAAAUCAAGAUAGAAAAGAAGAGUGAUGGAUUUGUUGUUACACUUUUGGAACCCAUG